UACAGAGACUGCAAGCGUUAUUCGGAUUCACUGGGCGUAAAGGGUGCGCAGGCGGCCAAGUGUGUUAGGCGUGAAAGCCUGGGGCUUAACCCCAGAAUUGCACCUAAAACUACAUGGCUAGAGCAUUGGAGAGGGUAGCGGAAUUCACAGUGUAGCAGUGAAAUGCGUAGAUAUCGUGAGGAACACCAGAGGCGAAGGCGGCUACCUGGACAAUUGCUGACGCUCAGGCACGAAAGCGUGGGGAGCAAAAGGG
rnacentral:rRNA from 1 species